rnacentral:rRNA from 1 species
GCCAACAGGGUAUAAAUACUCUGGAGGUACCAGAUUCCAGUUGAUUGUGGAAGUUAAGCAGAGUCAAACCCAGUUAAUAUCUGGGAGGGAGAUCUCCAGGGAAUACCAGAUGCUGUUGGCU